rnacentral:rRNA from 1 species
AGCGAACGCUGGCGGCAGGCCUAACACAUGCAAGUCGAACGAAGUCUUCGGACUUAGUGGCGGACGGGUGAGUAACACGUGGGAACGUACCUUUUGGUUCGGGACAACUCAGGGAAACUUGAGCUAAUACCGGAUGAGCCCUUAGGGGGAAAGAUUUAUCGCCGAAAGAGCGGCCCGCGUUAGAUUAGCUAGUUGGUGAGGUAAAGGCUCACCAAGGCUACGAUCUAUAGCUGGCCUGAGAGGAUGAUCGGCCACACUGGGACUGAGACACGGCCCAGACUCCUACGGGAGGCAGCAGUGGGAAAUCUUGCGCAAUGGGCGAAAGCCUGACGCAGCCCUGCCGCGUGAAUGAUGAAGGUCUUAGGAUUGUAAAAUUCUUUUACCAGGGACGAUAAUGACGGUACCUGGAGAAAAAGCCCCGGCUAACUUCGUGCCAGCCGCCGCCGUAAAAC